GAUGAACGCUGGCGGCGUGCCUAAUACAUGCAAGUCGAGCGAACAGACGAGGAGCUUGCUCCUCUGACGUUAGCGGCGGACGGGUGAGUAACACGUGGAUAACCUACCUAUAAGACUGGGAUAACUUCGGGAAACCGGAGCUAAUACCGGAUAAUAUAUUGAACCGCAUGGUUCAAUAGUGAAAGACGGUUUUGCCGUCACUUAUAGAUGGAUCCGCGCUGCAUUAGCUAGUUGGUAAGGUAACGGCUUACCAAGGCGACGAUGCGUAGCCGACCUGAGAGGGUGAUCGGCCACACGGGAACUGAGACACGGUCCAGACUCCUACGGGAGGCAGCGGUAGGGAAUCUUCCGCAAGGGGCGAAAGCCUGACGGAGCAACGCGGCGUGAGUGAUGAAGGUCUUCGGAUCGUAAAACUCUGUUAUUAGGGAAGAACAAAUGUGUAAGUAACCAUGCACGUCUUGACGGUACCUAAUCAGAAAGCCACGGCUAACUACGU
rnacentral:rRNA from 1 species